rnacentral:rRNA from 1 species
UACAGAGGUCUCAAGCGUUGUUCGGAUUCAUUGGGCGUAAAGGGUGCGUAGGCGGCGCGGUAAGUCGGGUGUGAAAUCUCGGAGCUUAACUCCGAAACUGCAUUCGAUACUGCUGUGCUUGAGGACUGGAGAGGAGACUGGAAUUCAUGGUGUAGCAGUGAAAUGCGUAGAGAUCAUGAGGAAGACCAGUGGCGAAGGCGGGUCUCUGGACAGUUCCUGACACUGAGGCACGAAGGCCCAGGGGAGCAAACGGG